rnacentral:lncRNA from 1 species
ACUGUCCCCGCCAUAUAUGGUAAUGAUUGAUUGCUUCCUUGUUGCCACCCAAUCGCCUGUCCCCACGUGUAAUCCCAUGAUUGGAUAACAUUAGCUAUAUAAGCCCAAGUAUAGGAAGUGCCCGACGCACAACACGGAAGAAGCCGUCGAGGACGGACAUGUAUUGAGGUUGCUGCCCAGUCAAUAAAGGUGCUUGCAGAGGCUGAGUGUUCGUGUGCUCCAUUCCGCGGGACGGAAGCGGCUCCGGACAUGUAUUGAGGUUGCUGCCCAGUCAAUAAAGGUGCUUGCAGAGGCUGAGUGUUCGUGUGCUCCAUUCCGCGGGACGGAAGCGGCGCCGGACAGGAA